CCUACGGGUGGCAGCAGUGAGGAAUAUUGGUCAAUGGGCGCGAGCCUGAACCAGCCAAGUAGCGUGAAGGAUGACUGCCCUACGGGUUGUAAACUUCUUUUAUACAGGAAUAACGUGAGUUACGUGUGCGUUUUUGUAUGUACGUUAUGAAUAAGGAUCGGCUAAUUCCGUGCCAGCAGCCGCGGUAAUACGGAGGAUCCGAGUGUUAUCCGGAUUUAGUGGGUUUAAAGGGAGCGUAGAUGGGUUGUUAAGUCAGUUGUGAAAGUUUGCGGCUCAACCGUAAAAUUGCAAUUGAUACUGGCAGCCUUGAGUACAGUUGAGGUAGGCGGAAUUCGUGGUGUAGCGGUGAAAUGCUUAGAUAUCACGAAGAACUCCGAUUGCGAAGGCAGCCUACUAAACUGCCACUGACAUUGAUGCUCGAAAGUGUGGGUAUCAAACAGGAUUAGAUACCCCGGUAGUC
rnacentral:rRNA from 1 species